CGUGAGAUGUUGGGUUAAGUCCGUACGAGCGCAACCCUUGUCCUUAGUUACCAGCACGUUAUGGUGGGCACUCUAAGGAGACUGCCGGUGACAACCGGAGGAAGGUGGGGAUGACGUCAAGUCAUCAUGGCCCUUACGGCCUGGGCUACACACGUGCUACAAUGGUCGGUACAAAGGGUUGCCAAGCCGCGAGGUGGAGCUAAUCCCAUAAAACCGAUCGUAGUCCGGAUCGCAGUCUGCAACUCGACUGCGUGAAGUCGGAAUCGCUAGUAAUCGUGAAUCAGAAUGUCACGGUGAAUACGUUCCCGGGCCUU
rnacentral:rRNA from 1 species